rnacentral:rRNA from 1 species
GACGGAGGGGGCUAGUGUUAUUCGGAAUAAUUGGGCGUAAAGGGCAUGUAGGCGGUUAAUUAAGUUGAACGUUAAAUCCCAGAGCUUAACUCUGGAACGGCUUUCAAUACUAGUUAACUAGAGUUUGAUAGAGGACAGUGGAAUUUCUAGUGUAGAGAUAAAAUUCAUAAAUAUUAGAAGGAACACCAGAGGCGAAGGCGACUGUCUGGAUCAAAACUGACGCUGAGGUGCGAAAGCAUGGGGAGCAAAC